rnacentral:rRNA from 1 species
AACGAACGCUGGCGGCAGGCCUAACACAUGCAAGUCGAACGCCGUAGCAAUACGGAGUGGCAGACGGGUGAGUAACGCGUGGGAACCUUCCCUAUGGUUCGGAAUAGCUCAGGGAAACCUGGGGUAAUACCGGAUAAGCCCUUCGGGGGAAAGAUUUAUCGCCAUUGGAUGGGCCCGCGUCGGAUUAGCUAGUUGGUGGGGUAACGGCCUACCAAGGCGACGAUCCGUAGCUGGUCUGAGAGGAUGAUCAGCCACACUGGGACUGAGACACGGCCCAGACUCCUACGGGAGGCAGCAGUGGGGAAUAUUGGACAAUGGGCGAAAGCCUGAUCCAGCCAUGCCGCGUGAGUGACGAAGGCCUUAGGGUUGUAAAGCUCUUUUGGCGGGGAAGAUAAUGACGGUACCCGCAGAAUAAGCUCCGGCUAACUUCGUGCCAGCAGCCGCCGCAG